rnacentral:rRNA from 1 species
AACGAACGCUGGCGCAUGCCUAACACAUGCCAGUCGCACGAGACCUUCGGGUCUAGUGGCGCACGGGUGCGUAACGCGUGGGAACCUGCCCUUAGGUUCGGAAUAACUCCCCGAAAGGGGUGCUAAUACCGGAUAAUGUCUUCGGACCAAAGAUUUAUCGCCUUUGGAUGGGCCCGCGUUGGAUUAGCUAGUUGGUAGGGUAAAAGCCUACCAAGGCGACGAUCCAUAGCUGGUCUGAGAGGAUGAUCAGCCACACUGGGACUGAGACACGGCCCAGACUCCUACGGGAGGCAGCAGUGGGGAAUAUUGGACAAUGGGCGAAAGCCUGAUCCAGCAAUGCCGCGUGAGUGAUGAAGGCCUUAGGGUUGUAAAGCUCUUUUACCCGGGAUGAUAAUGACAGUACCGGGAGAAUAAGCUCCGGCUAACUCCGUG